rnacentral:rRNA from 1 species
CUCCUGGGAAGUCCUCGUGUUGCACCCCUCUCUUUUUCUUCGCGUUUUUUUCGUUGGGGUUGUCGUUUGCGGCGGUCCAGCACGCUCGCUCUGCAUGCACCCCUUUGAUCUUCCCUGCAUUUAUUUUUUUUCUCGCUGGGCUUAUCGUGUACGUCGGUCCAGCACGCUCGCUUUGGAGGCUUAGCCCGCCCCAGGCCAAAAGCACGAGCCGCAGAUCUCGUUUCGGGUGCUAAAGCGUCGCGGGGACGUCGAAAUGCGCGGAAGCCCCUCGGGCUGCACCUCUCCGGCGGUAAGGUGCAUCGUUGCGUUCGGAUCCUUUUAUAAGAAUUAAACGCGCUUAUGCUGAUGGGUGCGAUCAUACCAACACUAAUGCACCGGA